GACAUGUACGGAAUCCUUUAGAGAUAGAGGAGUGCUCGAAAGAGAGCCGUAACACAGGUGCUGCAUGGCUGUCGUCAGCUCGUGUCGUGAGAUGUUGGGUUAAGUCCCGCAACGAGCGCAACCCUUGUCAUUAGUUGCUACAUUCAGUUGGGCACUCUAAUGAGACUGCCGGUGACAAACCGGAGGAAGGUGGGGAUGACGUCAAGUCCUCAUGGCCCUUAUAGGUGGGGCUACACACGUCAUACAAUGGAUGGUACAAAGGGUCGCCAACCCGCGAGGGGGAGCCCAAUCCCAUAAAGCCAUUCGUAGUCCGGAUCGCAGUCUGCAACUCGACUGCGUGAAGUCGGAAUCGCUAGUAAUCGUGGAUCAGAAUGUCACGGUGAAUACGUUCCCGGGUCUU
rnacentral:rRNA from 1 species